GGUUAAAGGUACCCGUACCGCAAACCGACACAGGUGGGUGAGGAGAGUAUCCUAAGGCCAGCGAGAGAACUGUUGUUAAGGAACUCGGCAAAAUGACCCCGUAACUUAGGGAUAAGGGGUGCCACCAUCAGGUGGCCGCAGAGAAUAGGCCCAAGCGACUGUUUACCAAAAACAUAGGUUUCUGCUAAGUCGCAAGACGAUGUAUAGGAGCUGACGCCGGCCCGGUGCUGGAAGGUUAAGGGGAUCUGUUAGAGCAAUCGAAGCAGUGAACUUAAGCCCCAGUAAACGGCGGCCGUAACUAUAACGGUCCUAAGGUAGCGAAAUUCCUUGUCGGGUAAGUGCCGACCCGCACGAAAGGCGUAACGAUUUGGGCACUGUCUCAACAACAGACUCGGUGAAAUUGUAAUUCCGGUGAAGAUGCCGGAUACCUGCGACAGGACGGAAAGACCCCAUGGAGCUUUACUGUAG
rnacentral:rRNA from 1 species